rnacentral:rRNA from 1 species
GUGGGGAAUAUUCGACAAUGGGCGAAAGCCUGAUCCAGCCAUGCCGCGUGUGUGAAGAAGGUCUUCGGAUUGUAAAGCACUUUAAGUUGGGAGGAAGGGCAGUAAGUUAAUACCUUGCUGUUUUGACGUUACCGACAGAAUAAGCACCGGCUAACUUCGUGCCAGCAGCCGCGGUAAUACGAAGGGUGCAAGCGUUAAUCGGAAUUACUGGGCGUAAAGCGUGCGUAGGUGGUUUUGUAAGUUGGAGGUGAAAUCCCCGGGCUCAACCUGGGAACUGCCUCCAAAACUGCAUGACUAGAGUACGGUAGAGGGUAGUGGAAUUUCCUGUGUAGCGGUGAAAUGCGUAGAUAUAGGAAGGAACACCAGUGGCGAAGGCGACUACCUGGACUGAUACUGACACUGAGGUGCGAAAGCGUGGGGAGCAAACAGGAUUAGAUACCCCUGUAGUCC